UAUUUAGGACGGAUAGUAGGCGAAUUGUGACUCAGAAGUUGUGAAGGGGUUUUGGGGGCGUGUCUAUAAAAAUGACUGACAAGAGGUUAAUCUAAAUAUAAACAAACAUUCCGGACCGGAAGCCAUGUCCCCCCCCAGCUACGUAAAUGUCGUAAACUAUUUUUUUAAAAAUCAUUUUUUUUAACAUAAUGUAAAUAUUAUUUGUAUUAAUAAGAAACGAAAACGAUUGACGAUUACACCUUUAAUUAUUACACGGUUUCUCGAGGCCUUGAAGCCUCACCCUAAAGAACUUUCGCGUUCGGAAACUUUCACACGCGUCCCAUUGGGCAGAAUAUGAACCGUCGUUGGAAAAACGACGAUUCCAAUUGGUUAGCAGAGAUUGAGCCCGCCCCUUCACUUGCGCGCUAUUGGCUGGAGUCGAAGCUACGGAAGUCGCUCGUCAUCCGUAACCUUUGACGUUGAGGCAGCAGAAGCCAGCUGUUACAAAUCGCGUCACUUCUCGCCAGCUGAUCGGAGACGCCGGCGGAGUGAGACACGCCGAGAAAAGGUGAGCUAUUAGUAGAAAAUAAAUAAAUAAUAACAUAUAAACUUUUACAUUCUUCCAUAAGCUCAUCUCAUCCUCCGCGGUGUGUUCAGUUUGCGAAAUGAAUCUUGCUUGGUGCGUGUAGGAAAGGCGAUAGGAAAUGAAUCGACUCGGAAUCGAGUCACUCGAGGUGGGGCGUUGGUUAAGAUUAAAAAGAAAAAUCAACGCGUCAGGAUUAGUUUUGAUCAUCAUCAUAAAGCCUUGAUUCGUUGUAGCUCGGGUGAUUAAUCGGGUAAACGUUAUAUAAUGCAGGUUCUGGCACACUGUCCAAACUUAGAAAAGAAGAAGAAGAAGAAGAAAAAAAGGCUGAUCAGUAGACUAGGCGGUGCAGAAAAAAAAACUGUCCUAACUCUGUUCACCCUUCCUAAAUCAGUCUAGGUAAUACAACACGGAGGUCAAACUACAUAUUGAGCAACUGGUAACCAUGUGUAAAUGUGGCACAAAUGGAGUCAUGACCUAGCAGAACCUAGAUGAUGAUGAAACUUCGACUUAGUUGGCAUGAAUAACCCUGACAGUAUUUGUGUGACAUUAUUGCUGCUCGGUUGCCAGCGUGUCUGUGUGCUUAGCAGUAUUUUCCUGAUUUGGAUUAGAGGCAUGGACAGAGUGUGUGUCCUUAUGUAAUUCUCUCCAUCUAGCAGUUAGCUAAGAGGAGGAGGAGGAGGAGGAGGAAUGCCAUUUUGUCAGUGGCUCGCUUUCAGUUCUGUGCUAAAGCUGCAGCACACGCUGUGGAAAAUGUCGUCUACUGUCGAGCAGGUCGAGUAAACUCAAUCCUCGAAAGGCGUGUUAAACUUACACCACCUUCUAUGAAGCCUGACAGAUGUAGGAAACACCUGGGUUUCUUUAUUUAUUCAUUUGUUUAUUUAUUAAACGAGUGGGGUACUCACUUCUGAAACUUCAUUUCAGAACCCCGUCGGCUGUCCUUGAACGACUCGUCGUUCUCAUCGUCGUGUCGUCGCUCCGAGAGUACGUCCAAAAUGUGUCGUGUUUCAUGCGGCGUAAUCGCUUGGCCUGCUCCUCAAAUUUGAAACCGAGUACACACCCAGAUUUUGUGGCGUAAAUGAAGAGGAGAACUUUUUCUUUCUUUCUUUUUUUUUUUUUUUUUUUUUUUGUUUUUUUUUUUUUUUUUGUUCGAGACCACGCCCUGCUCCGUUGUUCUUUCAGCGGCAUCUCCGUUGCAAGAUCGUUCCGUACAAGUCGCGCUCGCACGUUCGUGAGGGCUUUUCAUGUUGAACAGAGUAUUAUAGAGAAGCCCCAAGCGCACGUGGUUAGGCCGAGGGUCUCGGGUGUGAAAUCGAUUGAAAAACGGGCGAGGCGAUAAACGUUACCCGAUCGUGCACGUAGAUAGAUCGGUGGUAAUACGUUGACGGUUCUUCAUCCUACUUUACCAGUAGCUCUACUGAUUCUGGUCACCAGACGCAGCAGUCAGGUAUUAGUCAGUCGCCCCGCCCUGGAAAGUAUGUUAGGAAGACGUGGCGCAGGGUUUAAUAACCCUAGGGCUUGGGCGAGAAGGUUGUAAUUGAAAAACCGGUCCGGAAUUGAACGUACUCGUUAAAUUUUAAUCAGGUGAACGCUCAGAUUAAAGGCGAAUCUUCUGAGCGCUCGGUCCGUGACGUCGUCGUUUUGUGUACGUAUUUAACCCCCUCCACUGAUUAUCGUUUAACAGCACAGGAUGACGCGACAGGAUGUUGUCUUUACAGCUAAACGACUCGACUGCAAUCCUGCCUGGAUGUUUUGCACAUCCUUCCUCGAAGAGUCCGUGGCAGGUCAGAGCUCUGUCGUGUCGUCGUUCUGAAUCAGCCCCUGACACGCCGGUACCGCGUCCUUCCUCGAACUGCGGAGCUCGAUCGGUCGAGACGUCUCGGCCGACCUCGAUUCCUGCUCCCUUGCGCCGCCUUUCACUUCGGCAAAAGCGCCACGAGGCCACAGUUCAGGGUGUGGCCGGCCGACGACUCGCCUUCUAAUGAGAUACUGCGCCGUAUCUGUACAUCUUUUUUAUUAAUUAUUUUUUAUGUCGUUAUACGUGCUCAGGAUAUGAGAUCGGAUUCCAGCUAAAAGAAGAGCGGUUUAGGGUUUAGCUGGGUGACCUAAAAGUUUCCUAUUUUUCAGUCCACGCAUUGCAGGGUUGCAGCCACAACCGUUAUGUCAAUCGAUCGACCGAUGACCGGAGCAGCGCGGACGGAAUUAAUGCAGACGCUCUCGAUUUAUCGAUCUCUUAUUACCGCCGUCCAGCUGAUGCGUCACAGUUGUUCAUGAUUAAGAUUUCACCGUGUUUACUAUAGUUACGGAUGAGUAAUGCAGAGAGUGGAUUUGAUUUAUUUGUUGUUCGUCAGCCUGGAACAUUUUAUGACUCAAAGCCAGAUCAGGACGCAGCUGGUCUGUUAGGAGGUCAUGCGUCGUUCUUUAUAACGCUGAGUGGUGUUUUUUUUUUUUUUUGUAAAAGCACAAAGGCUCGGUGGCGUGUAUGGCUGGCGUGCUGACGCAGAGAGCUUUAUCUCGUCCUGUGCCGUUCCUGUGUCUGCCUGCUUAUUGAUGUCUGUGCCUGAGCAGGGGGAGGGGUGAGGACACGCACAAAAAAAAAAAAAAAAAAAAAAAAGUGAAGCAAAAUAACCGCAGGUUACUACCAAAGGGAAGAAAUAAGGUUGGGAAGGGGAACGAGAAUGAUCCAGCACAGGUUGUGGAAGUGCUAUGAUUCAGCAGAUCUGAUUCGUCUUCAGCGACGGACUGAUUUAAUGUGCUUUCGCGAGCAUGACGCAUCAUAACCUCGAUACAGUCUUGUUGUUGUACGGUUAAGAUCUGCUGCUUCUUGUAGUCAUUUGUGGACCGGAUUAGUGAUGACGCCGGAACGAGGAAGGCGGCCCACGAGGAUUUGAGGAGGAGUAUUCAGGACCGGAGAAGAUGGAUCGGGUCAUCGAGUAACUCUUGGCUAACCUACAUCAGUUCUUCUCUGGCAAACUUUAUGUUCGUAUUCACAUGCUAAAGCUGCCAGCUGAAGAGCUGUUGUGGUCAGCUUUGUCCUGCUGCUGCCUUCCAGACUUUUCAAGCAUGUCAGGCUGGGGAGGCUGGAUUCAUCUUUCUAAAGUGCAUGUGUAAAAAAAAAAAAAAUUAGUAAUGAGUAAUACAUACCAGCAGAAGCUAUUAUUAAAUUAAACACUCUGUAGGAAAAUAGUUUAAAAAACACUGUACACGCGAGAUCUUCUCCUGAUUUCCAUCAGCUGUAGCACUCAUUUAAAUACAGUGUCUUGUGUAAUCAUUCAACCCCCCACCCCCGAAAUGUUACUUCACACAAAAGGUUUAACAUUCGAAGCUCUGCCAUGUUGGAUAGAGACCGUUUUUCAAGUCUUGCCACGUAUUCUGAAUCGGAUUGCAGUCUCCGCUUCGACUGGGCCAUUCAGACGUAUUGUAAGUAUGUCGAUCGUUUUAAACCGUUCUACAACGUGACUCUACCGCCACCGUGCUUCACUGUAGGGACGGCGUUCUUGCCGAGUUUCCACCAACUGUAGUGCUUUUGUGCGGCGACUCAGACUAGAGAAGCAUUUUACACACGUUUGCCGAGUCUUCGGCUCUCUAAAAGGGAUCCCAUAUGACCCGCUCGCUCUUCCGUAGCCCGGCUUUGUGGCGUGUCCGGGGUGUGGUAGGUCCUGUGAAAACUUUCUCCCCUAUGAGAGGUGGAUCGCUUGACCCUUGACCUUUUGCUCGCUUCUCUGACGAACGCUCUCCUUAUCCGGUCACCGAUUUUGGAUGGACUGCAGCCUGUGUUGAGUCAUGGUCUCUAACAAGCGUAAGCUAACAUUGUUAUUGCUAAGCCUUAACGGUGACACCAUGUGGUUAAAUCACAUGACGCAGUUUUACAGAGGCCGUGCGGGCAAGAUGCAAAGAGCAAAGCAAGUUCAAUUACGUAAGGUUUUGCUAACUUAAUCAGGGCUGUAAGACUUGUAAACUAAAAUAUUCUUGCUCAUAUGUAUAUUAUGAAAUUGUAUAUACGGUAUACUCAUAAAAUAAGUUGUAUUGGUAAAUUAGUUUUUUAUAUAUAUAUAUAUUUUUUUUUUUAAAAAAGGAAGGUAGUUAUGAAAAGUUUGUAGAAAUACGAGACCGUAUCUUUCAGGUCUUCUGGGAUAGUUCUAGCUGCUGUUUAUAUGGAGGAAACGUGCAUUUUUAAUACGCUUGUGUAAUUAUAGAAGCAAAGAAAUUACAAAGUGUUCUUUUACAUCAUUAAUUUGACCUUAUUGACUCCUGUAAACUUUUUUUUAUUAUUUUUUAAUGUAAAUAAAUACCAUUUACCACAGCAACAAUGAAUUCAUGAUUCUGAUUGGUUAGAAAAUGUUGAUUUUAAAGAGUGUGUCCGCCCCUACUCCUGCUAAUUCACCGAGUCACAGGGUAGUGCUCGAGAGAGGACGGAUUGUUGGUAACGUCGAGGUUUUCCAUGAAGUGGAUCCGGACGGUGAAGACGGAUUUGUUGUCUGUACAAACCGUCCCAAUAGUUUCACUCAAAAAUGGUUUAUGACGUCAAAACGUGACGGUAUGCAAAUUAAAUGCUAGUGCGAGUCCUCUGGAGAUGCAGACUACAGCUAAAACCAAAGGCUGAAUCUCAAAUCCGGUAUUGUUUUUG
ensembl:lncRNA